rnacentral:tRNA from 1 species
GCCGACUUAGCUCAGCAGGCAGAGCAACUGACUUGUAAUGAGUAGGUCACCAGUUCGAUUCCGGUAGUCGGCACCA